GCUGUCAUAGCUCAGCAUAGAGAGCACUUCCACGGUAAGGAAGGGGUCGCUGGUUCAAGUCCAGUUGUCAGCGCCA
rnacentral:tRNA from 1 species